CAAAAUUUCCUUGGUCUCCGGGUUGAGAUGGUUCAAUCCCCCUGUCUACUGUCUGGAUAUUGAAAAACAAAAAGGGAAGAGAGAGAGAGAGAGGUGUGGGUAGACUUCUGCUCUUCGGGUUUUACUUCGACAUUUCUCUUCCACCAGGAGAUCUAACAGGAACACUAUAUUUGUAUUUUCUCAUCAUCCAUCUCUCUGCUCCAUUUCUUCGUCAGUGAAGCUUGGUUGAUUUCAUGGACUCUUGUUUGAGUAGCUGCUUUGGAAAUAGCUGAUCCAAGAACCACUCAUCUCUUACUAACUGAAAAUUGGACCCAUUAUUGGAGAAAGUGCUCCUUUUAUUUGCUGGGAUGGGGACAGUGGGCACUUCGGCAUUUUUCACCCACCUAGAGAUUUAGAACCACAGAAGGGACAUUGAGAUUUGGUCUGAGUUGGAGGCUCUUUCCUUUGAUUUAUCUCUCUAUUUCCAUUUCUUCAACAAGGUUCACUCUUUUCUUCUACUAAUUAAUAUUUAUCAUACACCUCUAUGAAGCUAAAGUAGUUUACUUGCUUAUUUGAUUUCAUAAUAUCACUGUAAAUAUCUGAUCCAGAAAACCACUGAUCUCUUAUCCAUUAAGAGUUGAACCCAUAACGAAGAAGGUUGAGUUUUGACUUUGGAUUCUUGCUUUUUCUUCUUUAAUCUUCAGGGCAUGUGCCUCCAUAUAAAAACUACUUUUUCUAGGAUCUGAAUUUGAUGCAAUUAAUGUUGAUGACUAAUAAUUAAAAUUUAACAAAUAUAUGUUAAUGAAAACAUAUUACAUGUCUCAUUAAGUGUCUUUCGGCUCUUAAUAAGCCUCUUUUGGGUAAGUGGAGUUGGGAUAUGCAUUAGAAGGAAAGAUGUUUUGGAAGCAUAGUAUUAUGAAAAAGUAUGGACAUGAGGA